GAAAUGCGAUACGUAGUGUGAAUUGCAGAAUCCAGCGAACCAUCGAAGCCUUGAACGCACACUGCACCUGCAGGCGAACUGCAGGUACGCCUGUUCGAGCGUCGGCUCAACAUCGAACCCAGCAUCCCCACGGGGGUGCUGCAGUCCGGAGCUGGGUGUCCUCCUCUCAGGGAGGUCACCUCGAAUCGAGGCACCGGCGACCACCUGGGUCAGCCCCACCACGAGCCUGCGAGGAGGUUCCCUUCUUUGGGUGAGGGGUGGGACGGCGAAGGUCCAGGAGGAGCGCGAAGGGGCGAGCAGGAGGAGGGGAUCUCCCCUCCGGAGAGCACGCGAAAACCUCGACCUCGAAUCAGGCGAGACCACCCGCUGAACUUAA
rnacentral:misc_RNA from 1 species